rnacentral:rRNA from 1 species
CAAUUGAAGAGUUUGAUCCUGGCUCAGAUUGAACGCUGGCGGCAUAGCUAAAACAUGCAAGUCGAGCGAAGCAGCAGCAAUGCUGACUGAGCGGCGAAAGGGUGAGGAAUACAUUCCUACGUACCGUGAGGUCGGGGAUAGCCAGGGGAAACUCUGGGUAAUACCCGAUGUGGUCGCAAGAUCAAAGAUUCAUCGCCUCAUGAGCGGGGAAUGUCCUAUCAGGUAGUUGGUGGGGUAACGGCUCACCAAGCCUAAGACGGGUAGCAGGUGUGAGAGCACGGCCUGCCACAUCGAAACUGAGACACUGUUCGGACUCCUACGGGAGGCUGCAGUAACGAAUCUUCCGCAAUGCGCGAAAGCGUGACGGGGUAAUGCCGCGUGCAGGAUGAAGCCCCUCGGGGUGUAAACUGCUGUCAGGAACCAGGAACGCAAUGACCAGUUCCAGAGGAAGAGCCGGCUAACUCUGUGCCAGCAGCCGCGGUAAUACAGAGGGCUCAAGCGUUAAUCGGAAUCACUGGGCUUAAAGCGAGCGUAGGCGGAUCGGUAGGCAUGUUGUGAAAGCCCACGGCUCAACCGUGGAAUUGCAGCGUGAACCCCCGAUCUUGAGGCGAGUAGAGGUAGCCAGAACGAUAGGUGGAGCGGUGAAAUGCGUAGAGAUCUAUCGGAAUGCCGAAGGUGAAGACAGGCUACUGGGCUCGAACUGACGCUGAGGCUCGAAAGCGUGGGGAUCAAACGGGAUUAGAUACCCCGGUAGUCCACGCCGUAAACGAUGCGCACUAGGUUGAGGAUGCUUGACGCGCCCUCGGCCGUAGCAAAAGUGUUAAGUGCGCCGCCUGGGGAGUACGGUCGCAAGAUUAAAACUCAAAGGAAUUGACGGGAGCUCACACAAGCGGUGGAUCAUGUGGCUUAAUUCGAAGCAACGCGAAGAACCUUAUCCUAGGCUUGACAUGCACGGAUCAACUCCAUGAAAGUGGAGCCACACCCGCAAGGGCGGAACGUGCACAGGUGCUGCAUGGCUGUCGUCAGCUCGUGCUGUGAAGUGUCGGGUUAAGUCCCUCAACGAGCGCAACCCCUGUCUCUAGUUGCUAACGGGUAAUGCCGAGGACUCUAGCGAGACUGCCGGUGUCAAACCGGAGGAAGGUGGGGAUGACGUCAAGUCCUCAUGGCCUUUACGCCUAGGGCUGCACACGUGAUACAAUGGUGCCGACAGAACGAUGCGAGGCCGCAAGGCGGAGCAAAUCGCUUAAAAGGCACCCCAGUUCGGAUUGGAGGCUGCAACCCGCCUCCAUGAAGUUGGAAUCGCUAGUAAUCGCGGAUCAGCACGCCGCGGUGAAUAAGUUCCUGAGCUUUGUACACACCGCCCGUCAAGUCAUGGGAGCUGGCAGCGCCCGAAGUGGCCCCGUUUCAGGGGUCCCUACGGCGAGGCUAGUGACUGGGACUAAGUCGUAACAAGGUAGCCGUAGGGGAACCUGCGGCUGGAUCACCUCCUUUCU